AUUGAACGCUGGCGGCAGGCCUAACACAUGCAAGUCGAGCGGAGCGGCGGACGGGUGAGUAAUGCCUAGGAAGCUGCCUGGCAGUGGGGGAUAACGUCCGGAAAGGGGCGCUAAUACAGCAUACUAUCAGAUGAGCCUAGGUCGGAUUAGCUAGUUGGUGGGGUAAAGGCCUACCAAGGCGACGAUCCGUAACAGGUCUGAGAGGAUGAUCAGGCACACUGGCACUGAGAGACGGUCCAGACUCCUACGGAAGGCAGCAGUGGGGAAUGUUGGACAAUGGGCGAAAUCCUGAUCCAGCCAUUCCGCGGGUGUGAAGAAGGUCUUCGGAUUGUAAAGCGCUUUAAGUUGGGAGGCGUUACCAACAGAAUAAGCACCGGCUAACUUCGUGCCAGCAGCCGCGGUAAUAC
rnacentral:rRNA from 1 species